UCUUGGUUUUCAUCUCCCGUGGAGAUCUACUCGGUCCGCCUAUUAAACUUGAGACGCUGGGGUCCCGCGGAGCCGGGGAGCCGCUGUGUCAGGCUCUAAAGAGGUUUUACAUUUCCCAGAGGAAAGCGCUCUAUGGGCUUUAAGCGCCGCGGAGACAAGCGCUUCCCGCCUGGGUGGCGCACUCUGCGGGCUCCAACUCCUCUCAACUACACAGCGUCCGGAAACGACGGCCGACUCCACAUCCCUAAGACGGACAGAGGGGCAGCCGUGGGGAGGAUUCGAAACCGACUUUCUCCAAGCUGCUCAGAAGACUGAAGCAGAAGGAUCACUUGAGGCCAGGAGUUCAAGAUCAGCCUGAGCAACACGGUGAAACCCUAUCUCUAAAAAUACAAAAAAAAAAAAAAAAAGUGAUCCUGAGAAAAGGAAACAAAAAACAUACAACACCUAACAGAAUAAUGUUGUCAAGCACUUCAGAAGAAUACUUUCAACACCUAUGGAAUUGACAAAAUUGAACUUGCCAGGGAACUCCAGGAAAACUUAGCCUGACAGCCACUCCUUUAGACCUCCUUGUUGCUCAAAUGUGACCAGAAGAAUCUUGACAUCGACUCAGAAUUGUUAGCUAUCACCCCUCCCUCCCAAUGUGGGACCAGACCAACCAGGACAGGUCGAUUCCAGCACUGAAGGACAAUUAAAACCUAACUGCAGAUUGAUUUAGCAGCAACGCUUUCAGAGAAAGGUCUUGAUCAAAAGGGGAAAAUAUAAAAGCUGCCUAUGGCAAAAUUGAGUCACUUAUAUUAGACCCAAGGCUGCAGAGCUGGCAGGUCAUGAAGGAGGGGACCUCAUGCUUGUAUGUCUGAGAUAAGAACUAUUACCAAGACUCUCUGAAGGCCUUAGGCACAUAUGCCCAUGGUAAGAACUAUUAUAAGAACUCUCUGAAAGCACAAAAAGUUCCAGAUAAAUUGCUUCUAUGAAGACAUCUUCCCAACGGCAAUUAGUGUUACCAAUGAGUAAUCACCAGUCCCUGCAAUGGGCUUCUGUGACUGAUCAACUUUAAGGCAGCUUGCAUGAACUUCCCCCUUUUGCCUUAAUAGCUUCUCCUUGUCCUAACAUCUUUGAAUAUGCCUAUGAUCUGUUCUAGCACUCAUAUCCCAGAUUAUAAUUCCCUGCUUGUUCCUGAAUAAAUGAAUGUCUUUGAAGAA